AGAGAACCUGGUAAUAGAAGUAGCUCUCCUGGCUGAAGAUUGCAGGUCCCAAUUGCGAGAAUAAUGAAGACACUUAGUGGACCUUUGUUCCUGUUCUUGUGGCUGCAGCUGGACUGUAUGAGUAGAGGAGAAGUGGUGGAGCAGCAUCCUUCUUUCCUGAGUGUCCGGGAGGGAGACAGCUUGGUUAUCAACUGCACUUACACAGACAGCACCUCCACAUACUUCUUCUGGUACAAGCAAGAACCCGGAACAGGUCUCCAGCUGCUUAUAUAUACUCUUUCAACUGUGGACAAGAAACAAGAACAAAGACUCACUGUCCUAUUGAAUAAUAAGGACAAACAUCUCUCCCUGAACAUUACAGACACCCUUCCUGGGGACUCAGCCACCUAUUUCUGUGCAGCAAGAGCACAGUGA